rnacentral:pre_miRNA from 4 species
CCGGAUGACCGGAUCUGCCGGCGAGGAGGUCGUGGCUGCCAGAUCCGGUGACCACGGCCUGCCCUCCACCGGAUUUAGUCCCACGG